rnacentral:rRNA from 1 species
UGGUCAAGUUAUUAAGGGCGCAGGGCGGAUGCCUUGGCACUAAGAGCCGAUGAAGGACGCGAUAAGCUGCGAUAAGCUUCGGGGAGUUGCACGUAAACUUUGAUCCGAAGAUUUCCGAAUGAGGAAACUCACUUAGAGUAAUGUCUAAGUAUCAUUAAGUGAAUACAUAGCUUAAUGAGGGGAACCCGGGGAACUGAAACAUCUAAGUACCCGGAGGAAAAGAAAGAAAUUCGAUUCCGUAAGUAGCGGCGAGCGAACGCGGAAUAGCCCAAACCAGUGAAGUUUUCUUCGCUGGGGUUGCGGACACAUCAUCAACGAAGAGGUAUCGUAAAUGAAGAGAGUUGGAAAGCUCCGCUAUAAAGUGUAAUAGCCACGUAGUUGAAACGAGAAGACUUUAGAUGUGAUCCAGAGUACCACGGGACACGUGAAACCCUGUGGGAAGCAGGAGGGACCAUCCUCCAAGGCUAAAUACUACUUAGUGACCGAUAGCGCAUAGUACCGUGAGGGAAAGGUGAAAAGAACCCCGGGAGGGGAGUGAAAUAGAACCUGAAACCCUGUGCUUACAAGCUGUGGGAGCACUUUAUAUGUGUGACCGCGUACUUUUUGUAGAACGGGCCAACGAGUUACGACAGUAAGCAAGGUUAAGUACUUAAGGUAUGGAGCCGUAGUGAAAGCGAGUCUUAAAUGGGCGUUAAGUUUUCUGUCGUAGACCCGAAACCGGGCGACCUACCCAUGAGCAGGAUGAAGCGAAAGUAAAAUUUCGUGGAGGUCCGAACCCACGAGCGUUGAAAAGCUCGGGGAUGACUUGUGGGUAGCGGUGAAAUUCCAAUCGAGCCCGGAGAUAGCUGGUUCUCCCCGAAAUAGCUUUAGGGCUAGCCUCAAGGUUGAGAAAUACGGAGGUAGAGCACUGAAUAUCCUAGGGGGCAUUGCGCUUACCGAAGAUUAUCAAACUCCGAAUGCCGUUAUUUUAUACUUGGGAGUCAGACUGUGGGUAAUAAGAUUCAUAGUCGAGAGGGCAACAGCCCAGAUCGUCAGCUAAGGUCCCUAAAUGUAAGUUAAGUGGUAAAGGAUGUGGGAUUGCAUAGACAACCAGGAUGUUGGCUUAGAAGCAGCCACUCAUUUAAAGAGUGCGUAAUAGCUCACUGGUCGAGUGAUCCUGCGCCGAAGAUUACCGGGGCUAAAACUUACUACCGAAGCUACGAUAUCAUUUAUGAUAGGUAGGGGAGCUUCCUAUGCAGGCUGAAGCAUGACCGUAAGGACAUGUGGACAGUAUAGGAGUGAGAAUGUUGGCAUGAGUAGCGAGACGUGGGUGAGAAUCCCACGGGCCGUAAACCCAAGGUUUCCAGGGGAAGGUUCGUCCGCCCUGGGUUAGUCGGGACCUAAGCCGAGGCCGAAAGGCGUAGGUGAUGGACAACAGGUUGAGAUUCCUGUACCACCGAUAAUCGCUUGAGAGAAGGAAUGACACAGUAGGAUAAGCUAACCACACUGUUGGUUAUGUGUGGCUAAGUACUGAGGCAGUCAAGGUAGGCAAAUCCGCCUUGAUAAUGCUGGGGUACGAUGGGGAGCGAAAUUAAGUAGCGAAGUAGCUGAUUUCACACUGUCGAGAAAAGUUUCUAUCGAGAUUAAAGGUGCCCGUACCGCAAACCGACACAGGUGGGUGAGGAGAGUAUCCUAAGGCCAGCGAGAGAACUGUUGUUAAGGAACUCGGCAAAAUGACCCCGUAACUUAGGGAGAAGGGGUGCCACGUUAGGGUUAACGCCUGAGGUGGCCGCAGAGAAUAGGCCCAAGCGACUGUUUACCAAAAACACAGGUUUCUGCUAAGUCGCAAGACGAUGUAUAGGAGCUGACGCCUGCCCGGUGCUGGAAGGUUAAGGGGAUCUGUUAGGAUUUAUCCGAAGCAGUGAACUUAAGCCCCAGUAAACGGCGGCCGUAACUAUAACGGUCCUAAGGUAGCGAAAUUCCU